GGGCCGUUAGCUCAGUUGGUAGAGCAACUGACUUUUAAUCAGUAGGUCGCAGGUUCGAAUCCUGCACGGCUCACCA
rnacentral:tRNA from 4 species